rnacentral:rRNA from 1 species
UACAGAGGGUGCAAGCGUUGCUCGGAAUCAUUGGGCGUAAAGGGUAGGUAGGUGGUCUCAUUUGUCUGGGGUGAAAGCCUCGAGCUUAACUCGAGAAGUGCCCCGGAAACGGUGAGACUGGAGUCUUGGAGAGGGUCGUGGAAUUCCCAGUGUAGCGGUGAAAUGCGUAGAUAUUGGGAGGAACACCGGUGGCGAAGGCGGCUAUCUGGACCGGUACUGACGCUGAUACGCGAAAGCCAGGGGAGCAAACGGG